rnacentral:lncRNA from 1 species
AGGUUCACCUCGUGGACCAAUCAUUUUGGCUGGGAAGGGACACGAACUUGCAUUAAUCCAGAGGCGGCUCUAUCGAGCUGUCACCAGAAGCCACUUGAAUUGGAAUCUUCCACAGUGACUGAAGUGUUGUACACGACUCUAAAAAGCAGAGCAGAAGCAGAAAGGAACAAGGACACUCAAAGAAACCUGGGCUCUCAGAACCGAGCUCCUCUUCCCACAGUGAGCAUAUGAUGCAGGUCUUUCCUGGAAGAGAUUCUGUAGAAAGAUUAGGAAACCGAGCCUCGGGCGUGCAGCCGCAGCCACCCCCAUCCCCGUGGUCUGUGUGAAGAGCGCCCCCUGGAGCUGUGAGGUGCAUAGCAGCAGGUUUGCACGCAGGGUCCUCCAGACACUGUUACACCGUGCCUUCUUUCGUCCUUACGGCCAUUCAGUGCGAAAUCUCAGGAACCACACCCAGGGGCCCCGGCGAAGUAACUUGCCCAAGAUCAACAGCUAAUAAAUGGCGGAGCCUUCCAGAACCCUUGCUGGCAGACCCUGCACUUUCUUGCAGAGCACUUGUUCUCAUUGUCAUUAACUCUCUCUCCUCCGUCCCCAACUAGAUGCACGUUCCCUGAGGGCAGAACCGUCAUUCUUGGAUCCCCG